CGGGGUGUAGCGCAGUUUGGUAGCGCACAUGGUUUGGGACCAUGGAGUCGGGGGUUCGAAUCCCUCCACCCCGACCA
rnacentral:tRNA from 1 species